rnacentral:rRNA from 1 species
AGAGUUUGAUCAUGGCUCAGAUUGAACGCUGGCGGCAGGCCUAACACAUGCAAGUCGAGCGGUAGCACAGAGAGCUUGCUCUCGGGUGACGAGCGGCGGACGGGUGAGUAAUGUCUGGGAAACUGCCUGAUGGAGGGGGAUAACUACUGGAAACGGUAGCUAAUACCGCAUAAUGUCGCAAGACCAAAGUGGGGGACCUUCGGGCCUCAUGCCAUCAGAUGUGCCCAGAUGGGAUUAGCUAGUAGGUGGGGUAACGGCUCACCUAGGCGACGAUCCCUAGCUGGUCUGAGAGGAUGACCAGCCACACUGGAACUGAGACACGGUCCAGACUCCUACGGGAGGCAGCAGUGGGGAAUAUUGCACAAUGGGCGCAAGCCUGAUGCAGCCAUGCCGCGUGUGUGAAGAAGGCCUUCGGGUUGUAAAGCACUUUCAGCGGGGAGGAAGGCGUUAAGGUUAAUAACCUUGGCGAUUGACGUUACCCGCAGAAGAAGCACCGGCUAACUCCGUGCCAGCAGCCGCGGUAAUACGGAGGGUGCAAGCGUUAAUCGGAAUUACUGGGCGUAAAGCGCACGCAGGCGGUCUGUCAAGUCGGAUGUGAAAUCCCCGGGCUCAACCUGGGAACUGCAUUCGAAACUGGCAGGCUAGAGUCUUGUAGAGGGGGGUAGAAUUCCAGGUGUAGCGGUGAAAUGCGUAGAGAUCUGGAGGAAUACCGGUGGCGAAGGCGGCCCCCUGGACAAAGACUGACGCUCAGGUGCGAAAGCGUGGGGAGCAAACAGGAUUAGAUACCCUGGUAGUCCACGCCGUAAACGAUGUCGAUUUGGAGGUUGUGCCCUUGAGGCGUGGCUUCCGGAGCUAACGCGUUAAAUCGACCGCCUGGGGAGUACGGCCGCAAGGUUAAAACUCAAAUGAAUUGACGGGGGCCCGCACAAGCGGUGGAGCAUGUGGUUUAAUUCGAUGCAACGCGAAGAACCUUACCUGGUCUUGACAUCCACAGAACUUAGCAGAGAUGCUUUGGUGCCUUCGGGAACUGUGAGACAGGUGCUGCAUGGCUGUCGUCAGCUCGUGUUGUGAAAUGUUGGGUUAAGUCCCGCAACGAGCGCAACCCUUAUCCUUUGUUGCCAGCGGUUCGGCCGGGAACUCAAAGGAGACUGCCAGUGAUAAACUGGAGGAAGGUGGGGAUGACGUCAAGUCAUCAUGGCCCUUACGACCAGGGCUACACACGUGCUACAAUGGCAUAUACAAAGAGAAGCGACCUCGCGAGAGCAAGCGGACCUCAUAAAGUAUGUCGUAGUCCGGAUUGGAGUCUGCAACUCGACUCCAUGAAGUCGGAAUCGCUAGUAAUCGUAGAUCAGAAUGCUACGGUGAAUACGUUCCCGGGCCUUGUACACACCGCCCGUCACACCAUGGGAGUGGGUUGCAAAAGAAGUAGGUAGCUUAACCUUCGGGAUGGCGCUUACCACUUUGUGAUUCAUGACUGGGGUGAAGUCGUAACAAGGUAACCGUAGGGGAACCUGCGGUUGGAUCACCU